UCGAAAGCUUGCUUUCGGUAGCCGGCGACCGGCGCACGGGUGAGUAACGCGUAUCGAACCUGCCUCAUACUCGGGAAUAGCCUUGCGAAAGUAAGAUUAAUGCCCGGUGUUUUCAGAGUCCCGCAUGAGGCUUUGAACAAAGAUUUAUCGGUAUGAGAUGGCGAUGCGUCCCAUUAGCUUGUUGGCGGGGUAACGGCCCACCAAGGCAUCGAUGGGUAGGGGUUCUGAGAGGAAGGUCCCCCACAUUGGAACUGAGACACGGUCCAAACUCCUACGGGAGGCAGCAGUGAGGAAUAUUGGUCAAUGGGCGGAAGCCUGAACCAGCCAAGUAGCGUGCAGGAAGACGGCCCUCCGGGUUGUAAACUGCUUUUAGUUGGGAAUAAAACGGGGCUCGUGAGCCCCCUUGCAUGUACCAUCAGAAAAAGGACCGGCUAAUUCCGUGCCAGCAGCCGCGGUAAUACGGAAGGUUCGGGCGUUAUCCGGAUUUAUUGGGUUUAAAGGGAGCGCAGGCGGACCUUUAAGUCAGCUGUGAAAUACGGCGGCUCAACCGUCGAACUGCAGUUGAUACUGGAGGUCUUGAGUGCACACAGGGAUGCUGGAAUUCAUGGUGUAGCGGUGAAAUGCUCAGAUAUCAUGAAGAACUCCGAUCGCGAAGGCAGGCAUCCGGGGUGCAACUGACGCUGAGGCUCGAAAGUGCGGGUAUCAAACAGGAUUAGAUACCCUGGUAGUCCGCACAGUAAACGAUGAAUACUCGCGGUUUGCGAUACAGUGUAAGCCGCCAAGCGAAAGCGUUAAGUAUUCCACCUGGGGAGUACGCCGGCAACGGUGAAACUCAAAGGAAUUGAC
rnacentral:rRNA from 1 species